GACGAACGCUGGCGGCGUGCUUAACACAUGCAAGUCGAACAGAAAGGCCCUGCUUUUGUGGGGUGCUCGAGUGGCGAACGGGUGAGUAACACGUGAGUAACCUGCCCUUGACUUUGGGAUAACUUCAGGAAACUGGGGCUAAUACCGGAUAGGAGCUCCUGCUGCAUGGUGGGGGUUGGAAAGUUUCGGCGGUUGGGGAUGGACUCGCGGCUUAUCAGCUUGUUGGUGGGGUAGUGGCUUACCAAGGCUUUGACGGGUAGCCGGCCUGAGAGGGUGACCGGCCACAUUGGGACUGAGAUACGGCCCAGACUCCUACGGGAGGCAGCAGUGGGGAAUAUUGCACAAUGGGCGGAAGCCUGAUGCAGCAACGCCGCGUGCGGGAUGACGGCCUUCGGGUUGUAAACCGCUUUCGCCUGUGACGAAGCGUGCGUGACGGUAAUGGGUAAAGAAGCACCGGCUAACUACGUG
rnacentral:rRNA from 1 species